UACGGGGGGAGCAAGCGUUGUUCGGAUUUACUGGGCGUAAAGGGCGCGUAGGCGGCCACCGCAAGUCGAAUGUGAAAACUCGAGGCUCAACCUCGAGCCUGCAUUCGAUACUGGGCGGCUAGAGUCUGGUAGGGGGAUCUGGAAUUCCUGGUGUAGCGGUGGAAUGCGCAGAUAUCAGGAGGAACACCGGUGGCGAAGGCGGGAUCCUGGGCCAGUACUGACGCUGAGGAGCGAAAGCGUGGGGAGCAAACAGG
rnacentral:rRNA from 1 species